rnacentral:rRNA from 1 species
UACGGAGGGUGCAAGCGUUGUCCGGAAUCACUGGGCGUAAAGGGCGCGUAGGCGGCUCGGUAAGUAGGGGGUGAAAUCCUGGAGCUCAACUCCAGAACUGCCUUUGAUACUGAGGAUCUUGAGUCCGGGAGAGGUGAGUGGAACUGCGAGUGUAGAGGUGAAAUUCGUAGAUAUUCGCAAGAACACCAGUGGCGAAGGCGGCUCACUGGCCCGGUACUGACGCUGAGGCACGAAAGCGUGGGGAGCAAACAGG